rnacentral:rRNA from 1 species
GACGAACGCUGGCGGCGUGCUUAACACAUGCAAGUCGAGCGGAAAGGCUCCUUCGGGGGUACUCGAGCGGCGAACGGGUGAGUAACACGUGAGUAAUCUGCCCUGCGCUCUGGGAUAGCCACCGGAAACGGUGAUUAAUACCGGAUAUGACCGCUACACGCAUGUGUUGGGGGGGGAAAGUUUUUCGGCGCAGGAUGUGCUCGCGGCCUAUCAGCUUGUUGGUGAGGUAAUGGCCCACCAAGGCUUUGACGGGUAGCCGGCCUGAGAGGGUGACCGGUCACACUGGGACUGAGACACGGCCCAGACUCCUACGGGAGGCAGCAGUGGGGAAUAUUGGACAAUGGGCGGAAGCCUGAUCCAGCAACGCCGCGUGAGGGAUGACGGCCUUCGGGUUGUAAACCUCUUUCAGUACCGACGAAGCGAAAGUGACGGUAGGUACAGAAGAAGGACCGGCCAACUACGUGCCAGCAGCCGCAGUAACAC